GACGAACGCUGGCGGCGUGGAUUAGGCAUGCAAGUCGAACGGUAUCAUCCUUUCGGGGGUGAGAGAGUGGCGAACUGGUGAGUAACACGUAGGUUAUCUACCCUCAAGACAGGGACAACCCAGGGAAACUUGGGCUAAUACCGGAUGUGAGCAACUUUUAGUUGUUUGAAAGGUGGCGUAAGCUGUCGCUUGGGGAUGAGCCUGCGUCCUAUUAGUUAGUUGGUGAGGUAACGGCUCACCUAGGCAAUGAUAGGUAGGCGGCCUUAACGGGUGGUCGCCCACACUGGGAUUGAGAUACGGCCCAGACUCCUACGGGAGGCAGCAGUCGAGAAUAGUCUACAAUGGUCGGAAGACUGAUAGUGCGACGCCGCGUGAACGAUGAAUCCCUUCGGGGUGUAAAAGUUCUUUUAUAUGUGAGCAGUGCUUCUUAUAUUAACAGUAUGGGGAGAGAGAUAUUAGCAUAUGAAUAAGCAACGGCUAACUCCGUGCCAGCAGCCGCGGU
rnacentral:rRNA from 1 species